UCCGAGUUGACCCCGGCAGUCUCCUAUGAGUCCCCACCAUAACGUGCUGGCAACAUAGGACGAGGGUUGCGCUCGUUGCGGGACUUAACCCAACAUCUCACAACACGAGCUGACGACAGCCAUGCACCACCUAUCGCGGACCCCGAAGGACACCGUAUCUCUACGGCUUUUCCCGCGUAGUUCAACCCAGGUAAGGUUCUUCGCGUUGCCUCGAAUUAAGGCACAUGCUCCGCCGCUUGUGCGGGCCCCCGUCAAUUCCUUUGAGUUUUAAUCUUGCGACCGUACUUCCCAGGCGGAGAACUUAAUGCGUUAGCUGCGACACCGCAGGGGUCAACACCCGCGACAUCUAGUUCUCAUCGUUUACGGCGUGGACUAC
rnacentral:misc_RNA from 1 species